rnacentral:rRNA from 1 species
GACAGAGGAUGCAAGCGUUAUCCGGAAUGAUUGGGCGUAAAGCGUCUGUAGGUGGCUUUUUAAGUCCGCCGUCAAAUCCCAGGGCUCAACCCUGGACAGGCGGUGGAAACUACCAAGCUGGAGUACGGUAGGGGCAGGAGGGAAUUUCCGGUGGAGCGGUGAAAUGCGUUGAGAUCGGAAGGAACGCCCGUGGCGAAAGCGAGGCCCUGGACCCUUACUGACGCUGAGACGCGAAAGCCAGGGAGCGAACGGG